UACGUAGGGCGCAAGCGUUAUCCGGAAUUAUUGGGCGUAAGAGCUCGUAGGCGGUUUGUCGCGUCUGCUGUGAAAGACCGGGGCUCAACUCCGGUUCUGCAGUGGGUACGGGCAGACUAGAGUGAUGUAGGGGAGACUGGAAUUCCUGGUGUAGCGGUGAAAUGCGCAGAUAUCAGGAGGAACACCGAUGGCGAAGGCAGGUCUCUGGGCAUUAACUGACGCUGAGGAGCGAAAGCAUGGGGAGCGAACAGG
rnacentral:rRNA from 1 species